rnacentral:tRNA from 1 species
GUCCGGGUGGCGGAAUGGUAGACGCGCUAGCUUGAGGUGUUAGUCCUUUCGAGGGUAGGGGUUCAAGUCCCCUCUCGGACA